GUACCGUCAUUAUCUUCCCUAGCGAAAGAGCUUUACAACCCUAAGGCCUUCUUCACUCACGCGGCAUGGCUGGAUCAGGCUUUCGCCCAUUGUCCAAUAUUCCCCA
rnacentral:rRNA from 1 species